rnacentral:rRNA from 1 species
UACAUAGGAUGCAAGCGUUAUCCGGAGUCACUGGGCGUAAAGGGUUCGCAGCCGGAUCUAUAAGUCUGUUUUCAAAUUCUUUCGCUCAACGAAAGGCAGGGAAUAGAUACUGUAGAUCUAGAGGUUUUUGGAGGGUAAUGGAAUUCCAGGUGGAGCGGUGAAAUGUGUUGAUAUCUGGAAGAAUGCCGAAAGCGAAAGCAGUUACCUACAAUUUACCUGACGGUCAGGACGAAAGCUUGGGGAGCAAAUGGG